rnacentral:rRNA from 1 species
UACAGAGGUCCCAAGCGUUGUUCGGAUUCACUGGGCGUAAAGGGUGCGUAGGUGGUUAGGUAAGUCCGAUGUGAAAUCUCCAGGCUCAACCCUGGAAAUGGCAUUGGAUACUAUCUAGCUUGAGGAGUGGAGGGGGGACUGGAAUUCUCGGUGUAGCAGUGAAAUGCGUAGAUAUCGAGAGGAACACCAGUGGCGAAGGGCGAGUCCCUGGACACUUCCUGACACUGAGGCACGAAGCUAGGGAGCAAACAGG